rnacentral:lncRNA from 1 species
UUAGAAGGUAAUACAAAUGUCAUAUACAUAAUUAUUAUCUGAAUCCAGGCCAUAAUAAAUGUAUAUGUUAAGUGAAUAGAUAUAUACAUGAUUGUAUAUUUGUACAUAUGUGAUUCAGGUGUGUAUAGAUAAGGCAUCCUGAGACUUUUUUAUCUGCCUGGCAUCCAUUUAUCACCUCUAAUAGCAGUGCAUAUCUGUGCUUUUGUGCAAAGCACAUUUAUCACUUCUAAUAACAGUGCAUAUCUGGUUGGGUCCACAUUAGUACUUUUCUUGCAUGUGAGGGGGAUUAUUUGAGCUUAAAUAUGAUGUUGGGCCCC